rnacentral:rRNA from 1 species
AAAUUGAAGAGUUUGAUCAUGGCUCAGAUUGAACGCUGGCGGCAGGCCUAACACAUGCAAGUCGAACGGUAACAGGAAGCAGCUUGCUGCUUCGCUGACGAGUGGCGGACGGGUGAGUAAUGUCUGGGAAACUGCCUGAUGGAGGGGGAUAACUACUGGAAACGGUGGCUAAUACCGCAUAACGUCGCAAGACCAAAGAGGGGGACCUUCGGGCCUCUUGCCAUCAGAUGUGCCCAGAUGGGAUUAGCUUGUUGGUGAGGUAACGGCUCACCAAGGCGACGAUCCCUAGCUGGUCUGAGAGGAUGACCAGCCACACUGGAACUGAGACACGGUCCAGACUCCUACGGGAGGCAGCAGUGGGGAAUAUUGCACAAUGGGCGCAAGCCUGAUGCAGCCAUGCCGCGUGUAUGAAGAAGGCCUUCGGGUUGUAAAGUACUUUCAGCGGGGAGGAAGGUGUUGUGGUUAAUAACCACAGCAAUUGACGUUACCCGCAGAAGAAGCACCGGCUAACUCCGUGCCAGCAGCCGCGGUAAUACGGAGGGUGCAAGCGUUAAUCGGAAUUACUGGGCGUAAAGCGCACGCAGGCGGUCUGUCAAGUCGGAUGUGAAAUCCCCGGGCUCAACCUGGGAACUGCAUUCGAAACUGGCAGGCUUGAGUCUUGUAGAGGGGGGUAGAAUUCCAGGUGUAGCGGUGAAAUGCGUAGAGAUCUGGAGGAAUACCGGUGGCGAAGGCGGCCCCCUGGACAAAGACUGACGCUCAGGUGCGAAAGCGUGGGGAGCAAACAGGAUUAGAUACCCUGGUAGUCCACGCCGUAAACGAUGUCUACUUGGAGGUUGUGCCCUUGAGGCGUGGCUUCCGGAGCUAACGCGUUAAGUAGACCGCCUGGGGAGUACGGCCGCAAGGUUAAAACUCAAAUGAAUUGACGGGGGCCCGCACAAGCGGUGGAGCAUGUGGUUUAAUUCGAUGCAACGCGAAGAACCUUACCUGGUCUUGACAUCCACAGAACUUUCCAGAGAUGGACUGGUGCCUUCGGGAACUGUGAGACAGGUGCUGCAUGGCUGUCGUCAGCUCGUGUUGUGAAAUGUUGGGUUAAGUCCCGCAACGAGCGCAACCCUUAUCCUUUGUUGCCAGCGAUUAGGUCGGGAACUCAAAGGAGACUGCCAGUGAUAAACUGGAGGAAGGUGGGGAUGACGUCAAGUCAUCAUGGCCCUUACGACCAGGGCUACACACGUGCUACAAUGGCGCAUACAAAGAGAAGCGACCUCGCGAGAGCAAGCGGACCUCAUAAAGUGCGUCGUAGUCCGGAUUGGAGUCUGCAACUCGACUCCAUGAAGUCGGAAUCGCUAGUAAUCGUGGAUCAGAAUGCCACGGUGAAUACGUUCCCGGGCCUUGUACACACCGCCCGUCACACCAUGGGAGUGGGUUGCAAAAGAAGUAGGUAGCUUAACCUUCGGGAGGGCGCUUACCACUUUGUGAUUCAUGACUGGGGUGAAGUCGUAACAAGGUAACCGUAGGGGAACCUGCGGUUGGAUCACCUCCUUACCUUAAAGAA